rnacentral:lncRNA from 1 species
GCGUGAAAUAUUCGGGUUACGAGUAAUACGCUGUGUCAAGAAGCAAUCGCCGUAGCGUAUGUCACAAAUGACACAAAUGUUUGUGAGUAAAACACCUUGGAUUUAUUUUAUUUAUGCAAUGACUUUGUGUCAAGAAAUUUGGACUGUGAAUGAAACCCAAAAGUGUUAGAAUCGUGGAACACAUUUGACUGGAAUAAAGAAAUUGACACAAGCAUGAACUUUUUAGAUUGGUGACCGUAUAUUGAGUUAAAAAAAAAUCAACAAACAUACGCAUUUUUAAUUUAUUAAUUUAUAGCAAGCUCUUAGAUUCAGAUUUAGCUUUUAUUUCGUUUUUUGUAGAAAUAGAGAAAAUAUCCUCUGUCCCAAUACCCACGAUAGAGUCAUUAAACAACGUUAUGUUCUACAUUGUAAUUAAGUU